CAUUUUUAUUUAUCAAUCUGUUUUCUACUGAAAUUUGCAUUUUAAUUAAAAGACAUUCACAAAGAAUAUUCGGCAUACAUACAUUAGUUCCUUUUUCCAUUCAUGUUACAUGCUGCUCUUAUAAACGUUUUUCUUCAUAAUUUAGUAAAAACAAAACUUUGACUGUAGAAAUAAUUUUAUUUAAUAUGGAUCCCCUGUAGCUAAAUGGAUAAAUGAAAAUAAAAAUGCAUUGAAUAACACAUGACUAAUGUGGUAAAGUAAAAAUUGUCUCUGUAAGGCAGGGUUUUCUGCAACCCGUUGCAAAGGCAAACAUUGUAACUUAAUAAAGCUUUCAGCAUCACUAUACACAAAAAGGUAGUUGAUUAAAAAAAAAUGUUUUCAUUUUAAUAUGAUUUUACCAAACAUCAUCAACAUUUUGGAAUAAGCACUAGUUAUUCCUUAGUGAAUCAGCCAUUUUGUUGUUAUCACAAGCAAGUAGCACAGCUUCUACAUGUAAUGUAAGAAUAUACCAAUUUCCUGUGAUCCCUUUUCUGUUAGCUAUAUUGUCCAGUCUACAGGAUACUGUUAAUGUAAGAAAUACUUUAUUGUAAAGUAUGGAAAAAGAUAGCUGUAGUCCAAGAACUUGUGUGUGUAUAAGAUUAGUACUAUUACAUUUAAAAAUGUACAUAAUUUUAGCAUUGUUUUGUUAAAUAAAAUAUCAGUAAUUUAAAUAAAUACUUUACUAUUCGUUUCUAAUGUAUAUUUUAAAAUUUCCCUUUAUAAAUAGAAAGUUUGUUACACAAUAACUCUUAUUUAGAAUAAUCUAUACAUGUACAUCGUAAUAAUUAUUAUGCAAGCGUUUUUUUCGAGAAAUCUAGAGGUUGCAAAAUUGGGCAUAAUAUUAGCUUUACAUGAAUAUUAUUUAUACUUAACGGUGAGUGCCUGAGCCAAUUACCAUGGAAACAAGUUAUAGUGAUACAUCUAGGCAUUAGGAAAAACAUAUUACUGAUGUAUGAACACAAACUAAACUACAUUAAAUAUGCAUACAUAAUUGUUCUAGGUAUAACAGUGACUAUUGUAUAGUGAUGACUUGGUUGGAAAGGGAAACAUUUUUAGUCAUAAAUAGAAAAUAAGAGUCAUUUUAUUUCAGAAAAAAAAAUAUAUUUUUGUUUUGAAAGCAAGCUUUGGAUUCUUUCUUGCAUCUGUGUAACUUGUAAUGUUUCUACAACAAACUUUCUAUGAAAAAUAAGCAAUAAUAAUUUCUAAUGUAUGUACCCCUUUAAAUGUAUUUUAUAAUUUAUAGAAAAGUAAUAUUAAAUUAAUAAUGGGUUUACAAGAUGUGUUAAUAAAAAAAAAAAGUCUGGGAUGUACAUUUUGCUGUUCUCACAAAUAAAUUAAAAUGCCUUGCAUUAAAGGAACACUAUAGUGUCAGGUAUACAAACAUGUAUUCCUGACACUAUAGUUCUGGUAUGUACGCCCCCUCCUCCCCCGCUUAGAUCACUCUGAAAAGGUGUUUAAACUCACCUUUUUUCCCACAGCGUGCCAGUCUUGCUGCGGCUGGCUCUGCCACAUGAAAGCAUUAUGAGGCUACUGCGCAUGUGCAGCAAAAUGUUGCGCUGUACUAAUCAGCAUCUCUUUAUAGAGAUGAAUUAAGUCAAUACAUCUCUUUGGAGAAUGUUCAGUGUCUCAACAUGGUGUGUGGAGGUGCUGCACACUGUGCACACUGUGCAGCACUGACACAGGAAGCACCUCUAGUGGCCGUCUAAGUGACAACCACUAGAUGUGUUACUAGGCAGCAAGGCAAACACUGUCUUUUCUCAGAAAAGGCACCAAGUAUAUUGAAAAGCCUACAGGGACAGGCUAUAGACUUCAGAACCACUACAAUAAGCAUUAGUUUAAAGGACAAUUGUGUGGCAAAGAUACUGAAUAAUUGAUAGGAUAUGUUGAAUUUGAUAGGUAAAGAUUUUAUGUUAGCAAUGUUGGAAACAAACCUCAUCUAAAUUGAUUGAAUUUGAGAUUAUUAUUUUUUACUUACGUUUAUUUGUCUAAUAUUGAAGGAACACUAUAGCAUUAGCAAUACAAACAUUUAUUCCUAAUGUUAUAGUGUCUUAUACACUGUUUAGGUAGUCUGGCCCUCUUUAAGGGUAAAAAAGUUGAUUUACUUGCCUUGUGACGUUGGACGGGGGAGCUGACGUCGGCGGGGGAGGAAAGGGUCACCAGCGCUGAGGGAGCCCGGUGCUGGAUUAAGGUAAGUAACUAAAUGGGUUUUAACUCCUUCAGCGCCACGGGAGGGGGACCCUGAGGCUGCGGGCACCCUCAGGGCACGAUAGUGUCAGGAAAACCGCUUUGUUUUCCUGACACUAUAGUGAUCCUUUAACCUAAUGCUUGCUCAUUAGCCCUUCGCUUAAGCUGCACAGGGGGAUGGGGUUAUUAAGACUCUCAUUUAGCAUUACAUUAUAAAAUUGGUUUAACACUGAAUGGAAGGAAAGCGCCAGGGGACUCCAGACACAAUAACCACUUCAAUGCGAUGAAAAUGAAGCAGUAUCAGUGUGAUUUUGUCUAUUGUCCGUAAAGAACAUUCUUCUUCAACAUUUAAUCUGUACUUAUUGCUUGUAGCUUUUAAAAUACAGUAUCCCUAGCUUCAAUUUAACAUUUUUGGGGGAUUUGAGAAAAUACCCAAAACAGAGAUUCAGCCUUACCAUAGGGGCCUUCAAUAGAGUACAUUGGUAGCUUUCAAUAGAGCAGACAGAUAUUUGUUCUUGAGACAAUGCAUACCAAAUACCUUACGAUUUGGUGAAAAUUGUCUUGUUUCCAAUAAUUGUGAUAGCAGGCCAUGUCUCCUGUUUGCUUUUGCGUUAAGCCAUGCAAUAAUUAUAAGUACCGUACCUCUUUACGGGCUUUGUUUUGUGUUUAGAAUAGUAUAUUAAGAAAAAGAAAUCUGGUGAAAUGUAAUAUACAAUAGUAUUACUUAUAAUUGAAUUUUAUCAAAAUUAUGUCCUUAACCCCUUCAGGGCGGAGUCAAUAGUACACGUUCUGAUCAAAGCAAAAUGUAAACAAAAACUGGAAUUUGCGCUAUAUGUCUGUUUGUAACUAAGUGGCUACUAAAAAUGACUGGUCAUACCCCGUUUGCAAUACCUUGGGUUGUCUACUUUUGCAAAUGGUAUGUUAUUAUGAGGGUAAUUCUUAUUCCUGGGCUACCAUACGAUCUUAAAAGGCAACAUAACCAAUCUGGCAAAUUUUAAUGUGAACAAAAUGAAAUGCAAGCCUUAUAUUCGACUCUCUAACUUUCCAAAACACCAUAAAACCUGUACAUGGGGGGUACUGUUUUACUCAGAAGACUUUGCUGAACACAAAUAUUAGUGUUUCAAAAUGGUAACUUGUAUUACAACAAUAAUAUCGUCAGUAAAAGUGCUGUUCA
rnacentral:lncRNA from 1 species